UGAGCGAGCUUGCCUAGAUGAUUUUAGUGCUUGCACUAAAUGAAACUAGAUACAAGCGAGCGGCGGACGGGUGAGUAACACGUGGGUAACCUGCCCAAGAGACUGGGAUAACACCUGGAAACAGAUGCUAAUACCGGAUAACAACACUAGACGCAUGUCUAGAGUUUGAAAGAUGGUUCUGCUAUCACUCUUGGAUGGACCUGCGGUGCAUUAGCUAGUUGGUAAGGUAACGGCUUACCAAGGCAAUGAUGCAUAGCCGAGUUGAGAGACUGAUCGGCCACAUUGGGACUGAGACACGGCCCAAACUCCUACGGGAGGCAGCAGUAGGGAAUCUUCCACAAUGGACGAAAGUCUGAUGGAGCAACGCCGCGUGAGUGAAGAAGGGUUUCGGCUCGUAAAGCUCUGUUGGUAGUGAAGAAAGAUAGAGGUAGUAACUGGCCUUUAUUUGACGGUAAUUACUUAGAAAGUCACGGCUAACUACGUGCCAGCAGCCGCGGUAAUACGUAGGUGGCAAGCGUUGUCCGGAUUUAUUGGGCGUAAAGCGAGUGCAGGCGGUUCAAUAAGUCUGAUGUGAAAGCCUUCGGCUCAACCGGAGAAUUGCAUCAGAAACUGUUGAACUUGAGUGCAGAAGAGGAGAGUGGAACUCCAUGUGUAGCGGUGGAAUGCGUAGAUAUAUGGAAGAACACCAGUGGCGAAGGCGGCUCUCUGGUCUGCAACUGACGCUGAGGCUCGAAAGCAUGGGUAGCGA
rnacentral:rRNA from 1 species